UCCCGCCUGCCCAGUGACUCUUUAAACGGCCGCGGUAUCCUAACCGUGCAAAGGUAGCAUAAUCACUUGUCCCCUAAAUAGGGACUAGAAUGAACGGCUAAAUGAGGACAAAACUGUCUCUUACGGACCAACCAAUGAAAUUGAUCUUCCAGUACAAAAGCUGGAAUAAACCCAUAAGACGAGAAGACCCUGUGGAGCUUUAAAACCAAAACCACCAAACAUGUUUCUUGGUUUUUUAGUUGGGGCGACUUUGGAGAAAAAACAACCCUCCAAACUAUAAACCCAUUUAUUAAGAAUAACACAUCAAAAAUAAUUAAAUAGACCCAGCAACAUUAUAUUGUCUGACCAAUGAACCAAGUUACCCCAGGGAUAACAGCGCCAUCCUCUUCUAGAGUCCCUAUCGACAAGGGGGUUUACGACCUCGAUGUUGGAUCAGGACACCCCUAUAGUGCAGCCGCUUUAAAAGGUUCGUUUGUUCAACGAUUAAAGUCCUACGUGAU
rnacentral:rRNA from 1 species